CCCUCGUCACCCCUCCCCUGCGACCAUUGGUGAAUCCAAGGAACAAAUGUUUGAGCCCUAGGUACGCAGAGAAGGUGGCGGCCAAAGAGUUUGAUUUGUGUAUACGGUGUUCCUGUAUGAUGGUCUUGACUCUUGAGAGCUGAGAAGAUCCGUUUUGGCUUAAGAAAAUUCUGCAGUUGUUUCUGCACCUGAGUUCAUGAUCACGGUCUCAUGGAGCUUUACGCAGCUCGGUCGACUAGGCCACCGCGACGUUGUGGGAGAAGGACAUCGGUGCAGAGCAUGGCAAAGCUGAGUACUUGUUGGAUCUGAGGACUUCUGAUCCACAGUUCUCCGCAUUAUCAUCCAUCAACAUCAGGUGACAUUAGCACUCAGCUGCAUAAGGCUUUCUCCCCACUACAGUUGGAGUUCAAGAGCGAAUGGAAGGUAAUCUGGCGAUCAAUCACUGUUGCUUGUCACAAAACUCUGAAAAAUAUUAUUGAGUACAUCUACCACGAGCUAUGCUUGCCAUUUAAAAAGAUGUUUAUG